AGCCCAGCCGGUGGAUGAACUGGAAGAUAGAAAGUGUGAAAGAGCUUUUUUCUCGUCGGCGCCGUCCUCCACAUUCAAGUGCACUUAUACAUGCAAAGGAUGGCCCAUCCGCUCUGAAAAUGAACCUGACGGUAUUCGCUGCGGGCUCAUUCGAAGAACAGGUGUCUGCAGAGGCGGAAAAUGCGUAAGCGCCGACGAUGCCAACAGACCGCCAAAUGACGCAACUCAAGUACCUUCGACAACAGAUAGCACCGAGCAGAGGUUUCCGACGGCUGCGCGUUUAGUGUUCGCAGGUAAUGUCACAUCUGACGUACCUUCUACCGAAGAUACGGUUAUUACAGCCCGUGCUACAACUAAGGAUGAGGAACUGGUAACCGAAAUGGCAACCGUAAGUGCGACGUUACUCGCAGCUGACCAACGGCCCACCGCAACACCCGGCACCAAUGAGCAGACAACGGCUGUAAACGAAGGAUUAAGCAGCGACGAUGUCAAGAGACCCCCAAAUGACACAAAUGGAGUAUCUUCCAUGCAAACUCGCACAGAACAGUGGGUUGCGACGACUGAAAGUUUAAUGCGUGAUGUUAAUGCCACAUUUCA